ensembl:lncRNA
CGGAAGUAGGGGCGGUCCGGUCCGUGCAGCGUCGCUGAGCGGCCGUGGAACGGGCGGGGAGGCGCCACCGCCGCGGGGAGAGAGCAGCGCUGCGGCGCGGGACGGAAAAGGAACAGUCAGGCCCUUUUUGGUGUCCUGGAUCACUCUACAACUCGGGGUGGAAGUUGAAGACUCAGAUCCAAUAUCCCACAGGCACAGCUGAUGCUGAACCCAGGAGCCCAGGUUGUGCUCAGGAGUUACUCCAAGAUGAGGAGUUUUGAAGACUAUUGGUCUUCAAGCAGUGCCGUGGCUAUAAGCAGCGGAAGGCAUAUCAAACUGGGUUACUUGCGAGCACACCAGGACUGGAGUGAAGAUUCAAUUAGUAACCAGGCUGUAUCAAACCAGAAGGCGUUACAGAGAUCACCUGUGGUGCUUCAGAGGCCACAUAAGAAGCCGUUCAAUGGAUUCAUUACUCUUCCCUAAAGGAGCUGAAAUGGCUGUUGUUGUUGUUCUUCAGUCCUGGAGAAAUGACGCUGUAAAAAUUCAAGCCUUUAUCUGAGCAAACAAAGCACGAGAAGAGGACAAAACCCCCAGAUGUCAUUUCUCACAGCAAAAAACUUUCUAAGCAGUACAAGAAGCAAAAGGGAGGUUUGAAAGCUUUGAGCGAGUAGAAGAGGGAACAAAGGCUGGCAGCCCAUCGGCAUCUGUUCUGCUUCCUUCAGGUAUGGACCAAUCAACUUUGUUCUCUAGGAACUCAGCUGUUUUUCUUUAGCCCUGUGCUUUAUCCCUCAGGGAGGCACUAAUUUUGAUCUGAUGCAACGCCUUCCUAAAUCCAGUCCAGUCUCAAUUCUCUGCUUACAAGGGCUUCCAAGGGACUGCAAGCUCAGGCUUUACAGGUCAGAGGUGAAGCCAACAGGGAGACCUCUGGAUGUUCAGAAAGAAACAAGAAGGCUGGGAAUCAGCUGCUUUGUUGGAUGCUUUCACUGACUGUCCUACUUAAGGAUCCUGCCUGUCCAUGGACACGUUGGGUUGGUUUGGCUGGAGCUUUGGAGCUCGGUGCUUAUGGCUUUCAUUCUUUAUGGCACAGAGUGGCGCCAUGUGCUGCCUGGACCAGAUACACGUAUUGCUGGAGGAGAUCACUCUGUGCAUUGUAUUUUUUCUUUAAUGCUUUUAAGGCGUGAGGGGUUGAUUGCCUUCUAACAGGUCACGUCUACAAGAAAUGCAUUUUUCUUCUUUCUUUCCUUGCAGCCGUAGUUCAGGGAAAUGUGGAUGCUUUCUUCUCUGCUGCUGUUUCCCAUAGCAGUAUCCUAGGAAUGGCUUCUGUCACGGAUUGCUUACUUGCUUACUUCAAAUACUGAAAGAAAUGACCGUUCUUUUCCUUCUGCCUGUGUAGAACUCCCUUUGAUUUUGAUGACAAAUCCAUUAUCUGUUUCCCAAAAGUGAUGCUGAGCACCGUGCCUCAUGAUGACUUACACAUACCUCGUGCUUCAUAUUAAUUCCUCAUUUGGGUCAAAAGUAGACUGAAAUCCUUGAGCCUGUGCCUGGGGAUCCCGCUGCUACUGAGACAGUUCAGCUGCAGUGCCCGCGGUCAGAACGCCCUGCGGCAAUCCUGGCAUCGGCUGUGAAUGAGAGAACUGACAGCAAAUCACUCAAUAUCGAAACCCAUCCGGUGGAUAUCUCUGAGCCUUGGGUGAGCUGGGCGGCAUCUCAGGGUGGUGAGGUCGGGUAUGGAGGCUGUUACUGCGAUGUUCCUUCUAAGAGCUGCUCGGCUGUUUUGCGUUGCUCUGAUUAAUUGUUCCAAGCUAUCCUUGGCUUUGCUGCACACAUCUGUCUAAUUGGUACCAUGUUUUUUCAUCACCUCCGAUGCUGGCUGAAAAAAAAGGAAUAAUAAUAAUUAAAAAAAAUGCACAACAGCAAUUUGCUGGUUAUUUAUUUAUUUCCACAUAAAUUUCCACAUCAGAAGCACUUAGCAUGGGUUUGGUGGGUUUGUCGAAGUUUUUCUUGGUUUUCUUCGUUGUCUCCCCUUCUCCCCUCCUUCCUC